rnacentral:sRNA from 1 species
GCUCUUGCUGGCUGCAGCCGUGGGCCUCUGCUCACCGUGCCGCUGCUGCUGCCUGCGAAAUGACGGCGGUUCCCCUCACUUCCAGGAAUCCACGCUUCCUGGAAGGUGAGUGGCUGGGCUCACCCCUGCCUGCCACUGAGACGCAGACAUGCAUACACCACCCGCACUCCCUCGCCGUUUCCAAGGCGGCGGCCGCGUUCGCACCCCAGGGUCUCACCGGCAAGGGAAGGAUAAUCUGGAGAGGGAUCCCUCAGGAGGGUGUGUUCCGGAUUUCUUGCCUCAGGCCCAAGACUCCAACCAUUUUAUAAUGGAAUCUUUAUUUUGUGAAAAUCCUGCACCGGCUGGGGGCUCCAGAGAGGAACAGUAGGGAAGAAUGUCUGUCCUGAACAUCUGUCCCUUCUGCAGCCCCCAUUUUCCUCUCCGCCCUGGCGCACCCAGCCCCAGCCCUGCUUCCUGUGGACGUCAGGUAGUGAUGCUCUUCCCCUCAGGCCUAGAUAAAGGUAGGGUAGGCAAGGCCCAGCCACUGAGCUCACAGAAGGCAGCACCAGGCAU